UCCGUCUAGGAUGAAUUUUAUUUCCGUCUAGGAGAGUCUCUCACUUUAUAUUCAUCAGAACCCUAAAAUCCGUAUCCUCCAAAUCAAAAAUUCUUCUUCUUCUUCUUCUUCGUUCGUGCCGUCCUCGACGCCGUCUGCAGCCGAUCGUUUACACCUCGUCGUCCUCUCCCACUCCCGCCGCCUCCUCAGUCCUCAUUCGACCCUCGUUUACACAUCGUCGUCGUCUUCCUCUCACACUCCCGCCGCCUCCUCAGUCCUCUCCCACCACGUCAAGCUCUUCCUCUUCCUACUCCCGCCGUUUGCCACCUCCGCUCAUGGAGCCCUUGCCGGCGAUUGCCCUAAUUGAGUGAGGGGAUGGCUGACUCAGGCUGAGGGGUACUGUGUCUGUGCAAUUUGCUUGGAGAGGAUCUUGAUUCACGAGGCUGCCGGUGUGAAAGCUUGCGAGCACGCUUACUGGUGCAUGUGUUUCUUUGAGCUUCUCUGGAGAAAAUGGUUUGUCAUCGUCAUUGUAUUUUUAAAGCAUCAAUUUUCUUUGUGUUGAGC